rnacentral:misc_RNA from 1 species
CACAUUUCCCUAAAAACUUACUCAAUAAAACUCCAGCUGGGAGACGGUGCUGUAAUUUAGAUAGGCCUCCGCCUCGAGACUCAGGAUGGCGACGCAGUGGAGCAGUGAGCAUUUCGUUGCCGAAUAUCGAGACAUUCAGGCAAACGCCAUGGCUGUGGACACUGUCGGAGAAUGGGCACUGUUAGGGGGGAGACGAGCCCUGGCCCUGGUGAACCUGUACACACCUAAACAGGAAGUCGUGCGGAUAGCCAGGCAAGCGGCGCAGGCCAAGUGGGACAUCAACUGCAUCCAGUUCAACCCCCAUGCCUGCAAGGCCAACAUGUUUGUAACUGCUAGCAACCAGCGCCUGGAGGUGCUGCAGCUUAGUGGAGGCAACACAGAACACAGAUGCUCCCUGAAGGCCCACACCAGGACAGUCAGUGAUGUAGACUGGUCUCCAUUUGAUGUGAAUCAGCUGACGUCCUGUUCCGUGGACACAUACACCUAUCUGUGGGACAUCAGGGAUCCAAAGAAGCCAGCUGCCACUUUUCAAAGUGUUGCUGGUGCAUCUCAAGUGAAGUGGAACAAAGUGGUGAACAACAUGUUUGCUACAACACACGAGGGGGACAUCAGGAUAUGGGACCCUAGGAAAGGCAACACACCAAUCCAGUAUAUUGCUGCUCAUCUGUCGAAGAUUCACGGUUUGGACUGGAAUCCUAGCAACCAGUAUAAACUGGUCACUGCCAGCCAGGACUGCUUUGUCAGGUUCUGGGACUGCACCAACCACCGCCGGAGUGAAUUUACUCUCAACACUGGGUCACCAGUGUGGAGGGCACGUCUCACGCCGUUCGGCAAUGGCCUGAUGACGGUGGUGGUGCCGCAGUUACGGAGAGGGGAGAACAAGCUGUACCUGUGGAACACCAGCAACCUCACGCAGCCCAUACACACCUUCGUCGGACACAAGGAUGUGGUGCUUGAAUUCCACUGGAGGAAACAGACAGAAGGUGUCCGUGACCAGCAACUUGUCACAUGGUCACGUGACCAAAGUCUGAGAAUCUGGCGGAUCGACUCGGCUCUACAGGAGCUGUGCGGCCAUGACACCAACAAUCUGCCUGACCUGGUUGGAGAUCUGUCUAAGUCAACUCCAGCAACUCUCGAGUCUGCUCUUGAUUCUCUAUCCGUUAUAGACGAGAACCCAACAGUGUCUGAGCCAGUCAUCAGCCAAGGCACCAUGUCCAACCAACCACAAACUUUGCAACAGGAGUUUUCCUUGGUGAACAAGAAUAUUCCUCAUGUUACCAUUGAAGAGAUGGACGCAAUCAAUCGUGUAUGUAAAGUGACGGCACAGAUUGGGAAGCGGCGGGUCAGCCUCAAUCUCAAUUUCCCCCCUGACUACCCAAACAAUGCCUCACCAUCAUUCCAGUUCCUCCACAGCACCCUGGAUGCCACCAUGCAGAAACAGCUCAUCAAGGUUCUGACAGACACAUCCCAAAAGCAUGUGAAGAGGAACAUGAACUGCCUGGAGCCAUGCCUCCGACAGCUGAUAACAGAGCUGGACACUCUCACUAAAACUGAGAGGAAGACACCUGACCUUGACAUUCCAUUCCCCCUGACCCAGCAGCAAAACAUGAUGCAGACCACGCCCAUCUACCCAAUGUACAGCUUUGGAAGCUUCCAAGACUCCAGCGUUCCAUUCCCCAGGACAAGCGGAGCUCGAUUCUGCUCUGUAGGUGUGUUGGUGAUAUUUGGCCGCUCUGCUGUGAUGAAGAAACAUGACGGAACAGAACCCACACCCAAAGCUCUGUCAGAACUAGCUGCCUUUGCCAGACCAUCCCAGAAUGCAACACCCUUUGCACCCUUCUUCCCUCGCAGUCCUCCAACGCCAAGCAAUGAGGGUUUGUCAAUCAGUGACUUCUACACAUACAAGGAAAGACGACACCGGACACGCAGCAGGUCGCGUGUGCGUGAGGUGUCGGAGUCACGGUACAGGGACACAGAGAAGGCAGCCAAGAAACUGAAUAAGGUGGCCCCUGUCAAAGUAUACGAUGUGUCAGCACUGCUCACUGUACACAAGCAACUAGCAGAGAAUUAUAAACUGGACCUGUCCGACAUCCCCGGGAUGUGCAGUCAUAACGCUGCUGCUGCCGCUGUUGUCGGACGUAAGGAUCUUGUACAGAUCUGGAACUAUGUGUCUGUGAUGUUACCAGCCAGUCUCAACCCAAGUCCUACUCCCACCAGCUGCAGACCCUUCGCCAUGACUGCCUUUGGACGGCCGCUGCUCAAAACAAUGCUGGACCACUACAGCAGUUACUACGAUGUGCAGACGCUGGCCAUGUUGUGCUGCGUAUUCUGGAACAAGGAGGACGUCCACCGUGCAGCCGCUGCAGCUGCUGCCAGGUCUGCCUCCAAGACCUCGCUGGAGUACACGCCAGCUAAUACUGAUGCUAACAUUACAUAUCUUGGAAGUAGCACAGAUAGUGGGUGGAGCUUAUUGCUACAACCCCUAUCAUACCGUCUCCUCAGUCACAAACCUUCUCAAGGGAUUCAAAGCUACUGUGCUGAAGAACAAGCGGUCCAACAGUUGGUCUGACAGCUGCGAUGACUAUCGCAUCCUGGACGAGCCGGACCCCGCGGAGAAGGCGGCACAGUGGGAGCAGGAGCAGCAUGAGAACAACUGCAAAAUGCUGGACCCGGCCAUAUGGUCCCAGUACGAUCUGUACAAGAAGGCCUACUCCAACCUGCUGUACAAAUGGGGCUUACACAACCAGGCUGCUCACAUACUCAAGUUCAUCUCCACAUCACCUCCACCACAUAAA